UGCAGUACACUGGCCCUCGAGGCCUGGAGUUUGACACCACUGCAGAAUAGCAUCUCUCAAAAACCAGCACAUCACACCUUGAGGCAGAUGACCUACAGCAGCAGAAGACCACACUCCCCUGUCAGCUAAUAACAUGAAACUAAGGCUAAAAUUCACCUGGACACAUCAAAAUAGGGCACCAGCACCAAUUGGAGUAUUGCUGCUGAUCAUGUCCAUCCCUUUAUGACCGCAGUGUACCCAUCUUUUGCGAGCUGCUUUGAAGCGGAAAACACACCAAGUCAAAGAGUUCAAAUCAUCUCAAACUGGUUUCUUGAACAUUGUACUCAAGUGACCUGCACGGUCACCAGAUCUUAGUCCUACAAUAGAGGACAUUUGGGAUGUAAUGGAAAUGGAGACUCACAUAAUGUACGUGCAGCGGACAAAUCUGCAGCAAUUGUGUGAUCCUAUCAUGUUUCCAGCACCUUGCUGAAUCUAUGGCAUGAAAACAUGAAGGCUGUUCUGAAGGCAAAAGGUGAUCCAAAUCAAUACUCGCAAGGUGUAUCUGACAAAGUGACCGUGUUUCCAGAACGAGUACGCAGGUUCCCCUCAGAUGUCGUAACAACGCCUGACUGUGAUGAUCGUGUUGCUUGAGGACUUAAUGGCAUUAGUGUCUUCGAAUAAACAAAUCGUAGUAUCUUUCCCUCACAUCUUUUUUUUGUGAAUGGGGGUAUUUAGGCCUGCUUCCUUAUGAUCGUGUCUCCUGCUGUGUUUUUCUUUUUCUUUUUUUACAUAUGAGAUCAGAAAUUCAUCAAGAGCGCCACUGAGCAGUGAUAUAGAGUUACAUUUGGAGUCAUUAAUUUACCACACGCAGCAGAUCUGAAGGGAUUUAUCUGGAUAGCAUUAAAGCAACUUUAUUGAAACCAUCUAUAUUGCCACCCAUGCUGUUUUCAUGUAUAACCAGAUUUGUCAUCAUGAUUAAAUUCACUACAUCAGAAUAUUUUACACGAAUAUAACUUCGUUCUCUUUAUCUCGCCAUGUAUCCAUCAAUCUAUUCCCAGCUCCAUCUCACUGUGUUUCCACCAUAAUCAGAGUUGUGAUCACAUCCAUAUUCACAUCCCACCUGGAUCCAUAUUUCUACUCAUCCAUAUUGGCAACGGG